rnacentral:rRNA from 1 species
UACGGAGGGGGCUAGCGUUGUUCGGAAUUACUGGGCGUAAAGCGCACGUAGGCGGCUUUGUAAGUUAGAGGUGAAAGCCCGGGGCACAACUCCGGAAUUGCCUUUAAGACUGCAUCGCUAGAAUUGUGGAGAGGUAAGUGGAAUUCCGAGUGUAGAGGUGAAAUUCGUAGAUAUUCGGAAGAACACCAGUGGCGAAGGCGACUUACUGGACACAUAUUGACGCUGAGGCGCGAAAGCGUGGGGAGCAAACAGG